rnacentral:rRNA from 1 species
UACGUAGGGGGCGAGCGUUACCCGGAUUUACUGGGCGUAAAGCGUGCGCAGGCGGCCCGUUAAGACAGGUGUGAAAUCCCUGGGCUCAACCUAGGAAUUGCGCUUGUGACUGGCGGGCUCGAGUACGGUAGAGGGGGGUGGAAUUCCUGGUGUAGCAGUGAACUGCGUAGAGAUCAGGAGGAACACCGAUGGCGAAGGCAGCCCCCUGGGCCUGUACUGACGCUCAUGCACGAAAGCGUGGGGAGCAAACAGG